GGGGCCUGGAAAGUCUCCAGACUUCAGCCUCUAAAGAAAUAAGGGACUUCCUCGCCGAGGGGUCUUCACAAAAGAGUGAUCCACGGUGGUUAGAUGCCUGAAAUGUCCUGUAAGGUGGGUGCCUGGGACUUACUGCUGUCUGACGUCUGUUGUGUUCACCUCGUGCCUCCUGAAGUGUGGAAGGAUCCAGAGCCCUCGCAGAAACUUCUGGCAGCUGAGCUAGAAGUUUCUCUCGAACUGCAACACGGCCCACAGGGCCCCUUCACUACUGCCGGCCGGGCUGGGCUGGAGUGCCUUGCCCAGGAGAGGCUGCCCAGUGUGCCUGGGCCCCAACCCCCACAGACCAGGAUAUAAGAAGGCUCAACAGCCCUGGAUUCUCAGUGCUCCCAGCUCCUGCUCAUCUGCCCCAACUGGGAGUAACUAGAGGUGGAAAUGAGCAGACCUAUGUGAGUAUCAGGUCUGUUACUCACUGGCUGGGAGGCCCUGGAAUCUUGUUUCACUUCUAUAAG
rnacentral:lncRNA from 1 species